CCUACGGGUGGCAGCAGUGAGGAAUAUUGGUCAAUGGACGAGAGUCUGAACCAGCCAAGUAGCGUGAAGGAUGACUGCCCUAUGGGUUGUAAACUUCUUUUAUAUGGGAAUAAAAUGUUCCACGUGUGGGAUUUUGUAUGUACCAUAUGAAUAAGGAUCGGCUAACUCCGUGCCAGCAGCCGCGGUAAUACGGAGGAUCCGAGCGUUAUCCGGAUUUAUUGGGUUUAAAGGGAGCGUAGAUGGAUUGUUAAGUCAGUUGUGAAAGUUUGCGGCUCAACCGUAAAAUUGCAGUUGAAACUGGCAGUCUUGAGUACAGUAGAGGUGGGCGGAAUUCGUGGUGUAGCGGUGAAAUGCUUAGAGAUCACGAAGAACUCCGAUUGCGAAGGCAGUUCACUAGACUGCAACUGACACUGAUGCUCGAAAGUGUGGGUAUCAAACAGGAUUAGAUACCCUUGUAGUC
rnacentral:rRNA from 1 species